rnacentral:lncRNA from 1 species
CUGGAACUAGAUAACUAAAUAGUUCUAAAAAAAUAACAUACACAUAACAUAAAUAAUGGAAUUGCAAUUAGCCUAAUUCCAACUCCCACUAAUCCAAUUCAAAACCCUUCAGCCUUAUCGACGGGAACCUCUUCCUCACAGGACGGUCAGCGGGUACACUCCUGCCAACGUCAACCUCGACCUCCUCCUCAGCAACAUCGGAAUGGUCCUGCUCCAGUUGGUGAUAGAUAUAUAUCCUUCAGCAUGGUCUCUUCCUCCAACAGGGCUCUAUCAUGUUUUUCAUCUGAAAUUUGUCCCCGAAAUCCUAUAUAGUCAUUGACAUGACUGUCGGAUUUAUCAGAAGUAACCUUGGAGGCGGAGAAGAAGGAUGAAUCCAUGAAAAUUGGAUGAGAAAUAGAAAACAAACAGAGAGAGGUUUUCCAAAAUUGAUCAUUAUCUUGAUUUAUUGAUUGUAUAUAUACGACGCA